rnacentral:rRNA from 1 species
GAUGAACGCUGGCGGCGUGCCUAAUACAUGCAAGUCGAGCGAACAGACGAGGAGCUUGCUCCUCUGACGUUAGCGGCGGACGGGUGAGUAACACGUGGAUAACCUACCUAUAAGACUGGGAUAACUUCGGGAAACCGGAGCUAAUACCGGAUAAUAUAUUGAACCGCAUGGUUCAAUAGUUAAAGACGGUUUUGCUGUCACUUAUAGAUGGAUCCGCGCCGCAUUAGCUAGUUGGUAAGGUAUCGGCUUACCAAGGCGACGAUGCGUAGCCGACCUGAGAGGGUGAUCGGACACACUGGAACUGAGACACGGUCCAGACUCCUACGGGAGGCAGCAGUAGGGAAUCUUACGCAAUGGGCGAAAGCCUGACGGAGCAACGCCGCGUGAGUGAUGAAGGUCUUCGGAUCGUAAAACUCUGUUAUUAGGGAAGAACAAAUGUGUAAGUAACUAUGCACGUCUUGACGGUACCUAAUCAGAAAGCCACGGCUAACUACGUG